rnacentral:rRNA from 1 species
AGGCCGAAAGGCGUAGUCGAUGGGAAACAGGUUAAUAUUCCUGUACUUGGUGUUACUGCGAAGGGGGGACGGAGAAGGCUAUGUUAGCCGGGCGACGGUUGUCCCGGUUUAAGCAUGUAGGCUGGUUAUCCAGGCAAAUCCGGAUAAUCAAGGCUGAGGUGUGAUGACGAGGCACUACGGUGCUGAAGUAACAAAUGCCCUGCUUCCAGGAAAAGCCUCUAAGCAUCAGGUAACAU